UACGGAGGGUGCAAGCGUUAUCCGGAAUCACUGGGUUUAAAGGGUGCGUAGGCGGCCUUGUAAGUCAGGGGUGAAAUCUUCCCGCUCAACGGGAGAACUGCCUUUGAUACUGCAAAGCUUGAAUGGGCACGAGGCAGGCGGAAUGUGACAUGUAGCGGUGAAAUGCUUAGAUAUGUCAUAGAACACCGAUUGCGAAGGCAGCCUGCCAGAGCUCGAUUGACGCUGAGGCACGAAAGCGUGGGGAGCGAACAGG
rnacentral:rRNA from 1 species